GAUCAUCGGUGUGAGUGUGAGCAGAACAGCGACUGCAGAACCCCAACUGGGUACGAAGUCUGCUGAAGCGCUGAGUGAUGGACUGCUAAUCAGAUCGUACAGAAGAGUGGCCUGAGAUAGCAUAGGAAAGAGAAAGAUAUUCCCUGUUUAUGGUUCUCUGGAAUACUGGCAAAGAUUAUUGGAUCAGCCCUAAAAAAAAACACCACCACGUGGAAUUUAUGCAUUUGAAUCCUGCCUCUUGUUACAAUUAGGAUCUGCUUUUUGAGGAGAAAAACCUGAAAGUCUGGAGAAUAAAUGAAGCAGUGAUCUAACUUUUCAUUGCCUUUUCAUGUUCGCUUUUCCACAAGCUAUGUCAGAAUUUUCCCACUCCAUUAGCAAACAUAUUUGACACAGAAAAUUAGCAUAUAACGUAGUUAAUCUUUUUCUGACAAUAAUUAAAUUAAAAUGAAUGAUAGAACAUAGCUAGAUAAUGAGACAGGAGCCCGAUUUCAUCCCUAUUAUCAAAACCUUCUCACUAGGUAACAAAUGGGGCAUGUGUAUCCAGUUUGAUCUCAUAAGUAAUAUACUGAAACGUGUGUAAGAAUGCAGGAUGAACAAAAUUGUGUUUUUACAGGAUGCUUAUGCUGUAAGUUUAUGCUUCAUGCAGGUUUAUAAUGUUUAGUGGUUACAUGUUUACUUUUUUGAACAAAAAAAAUAAAGAACAAAUGAAAACA